rnacentral:rRNA from 1 species
ACGAACGCUGGCGGCGUGCCUAAUACAUGCAAGUCGAACGCACUCUCGUUUAGAUUGAAGGAGUUUGCUCCUGAUUGAUAAACAUUUGAGUGAGUGGCGGACGGGUGAGUAACACGUGGGUAACCUGCCCUAAAGUGGGGGAUAACAUUUGGAAACAGAUGCUAAUACCGCAUAAAACCUAACACCGCAUGGUGUAGGGUUGAAAGAUGGUUUCGGCUAUCACUUUAGGAUGGACCCGCGGUGCAUUAGUUAGUUGGUGAGGUAAAGGCUCACCAAGACCGUGAUGCAUAGCCGACCUGAGAGGGUAAUCGGCCACACUGGGACUGAGACACGGCCCAGACUCCUACGGGAGGCAGCAGUAGGGAAUCUUCCACAAUGGACGAAAGUCUGAUCGAGCAACGCCGCGUGAGUGAAGAAGGUUUUCGGAUCGUAAAACUCUGUUGUUGGAGAAGAAUGUAUCUGAUAGUAACUGAUCAGGUAGUGACGGUAUCCAACCAGAAAGCCACGGCUAACUACGUG